rnacentral:misc_RNA from 1 species
GAUGAAGAACGCAGUGAAAUGCGAUAAGUAAUGUGAAUUGCAGAAUUCAGUGAAUCAUCGAGUCUUUGAACGCACAUUGCGCCCGCCAGUAUUCUGGCGGGCAUGCCUGUUCGAGCGUCAUUUCAACCAUCAAGCCCCCGGCUUGUGUUGGGGACCUGCGGCUGCCGCAGGCCCUGAAAACCAGUGGCGGGCUCGCUAGUCACUCCGAGCGUAGUAAUACAUCUCGCUCAGGGCGUGCUGCGGGUUCCGGCCGUUAAAAAAGCCUUAUUUACCCAAGGUUGACCUCGGAUCAGGUAGGAAGACCCGCUGAACUUAAGCAUAUCAAUAAGCGGAGGA